rnacentral:tmRNA from 1 species
GGGGCCGAUUUGGAUUCGACGCCGGUUACAAAGCUCUGUGGUGCAUGCCGUGAUGGUAGCGAAUCACGUUAAUCAAAAGCUGCAAUCUUAUAGUUGCCAACGACGACAACUACGCUCUAGCCGCUUAAUACCCGGUUAGCGGUCGAUAACAAGGUGCCAGUACCGCGCUAUUGACUGUCAUAUAGAACUGGAUCGCAAGCAAAGCUCGUCUGAGGCUGCGCUGUUAAAACCUUAUCAGAAUCGCUGAGAACGUCCUGCCCGUCGGGCUGUUCAAGGCUAAAUCAAUUGACGGAAACUAAGCAUGUAGAGCCCUGAGUGGCGGACUGACGGACGCGGGUUCAAUUCCCGCCGGCUCCACCA